rnacentral:rRNA from 1 species
GAUGAACGCUGGCGGCGUGCUUAACACAUGCAAGUCGAACGAAGAGGGUUAGAAUGAGAGCUUCGGCAGGAUUUCUUUCCAUCUUAGUGGCGGACGGGUGAGUAACGUGUGGGCAACCUGCCCUGUACUGGGGAAUAAUCAUUGGAAACGAUGACUAAUACCGCAUGUGGUCCUCGGAAGGCAUCUUCUGAGGAAGAAAGGAUUUAUUCGGUACAGGAUGGGCCCGCAUCUGAUUAGCUAGUUGGUGAGGUAACGGCCCACCAAGGCGACGAUCAGUAGCCGACCUGAGAGGGUGACCGGCCACAUUGGGACUGAGACACGGCCCAG